rnacentral:rRNA from 1 species
UACAGAGGUCCCAAGCGUUGUUCGGAUUCACUGGGCGUAAAGGGUGCGUAGGCGGUCGGGUAAGUCUGCUGUGAAAACUCGAGGCUCAACCUCGAGACGUCGGCGGAAACCAUCUGGCUAGAGUCCGGAAGAGGAGAGUGGAAUUCCUGGUGUAGCGGUGAAAUGCGCAGAUAUCAGGAAGAACACCCGUGGCGAAGGCGGCUCUCUGGGACGGUACUGACGCUGAGACGCGAAAGCGUGGGGAGCGAACAGG